GACGAACGCUGGCGGCGUGCCUAAUACAUGCAAGUAGAACACUGAAGAGAGGAGCUUGCUCUUCUUGGAUGAGUUGCGAACGGGUGAGUAACGCGUAGGUAACCUGCCUUGUAGCGGGGGAUAACUAUUGGAAACGAUAGCUAAUACCGCAUAACAAUGGAUGACACAUGUCAUUUAUUUGAAAGGGGCAAUUGCUCCACUACAAGAUGGACCUGCGUUGUAUUAGCUAGUAGGUGAGGUAAUGGCUCACCUAGGCGACGAUACAUAGCCGACCUGAGAGGGUGAUCGGCCACACUGGGACUGAGACACGGCCCAGACUCCUACGGGAGGCAGCAGUAGGGAAUCUUCGGCAAUGGGGGCAACCCUGACCGAGCAACGCCGCGUGAGUGAAGAAGGUUUUCGGAUCGUAAAGCUCUGUUGUAAGUCAAGAACGGGUGUGAGAGUGGAAAGUUCACACUGUGACGGUAGCUUACCAGAAAGGGACGGCUAACUACGUG
rnacentral:rRNA from 1 species